GGUCCCCUAGCUCAGUUGGAAGAGCGUCUGACUGUUAUUACUUAACGGUAUCAGGAGGUCGACAGUUCGAACCUGCCGGGGACCG